GAUGAACGCUGGCGGCGUGCCUAAUACAUGCAAGUCGAGCGAACAGACGAGGAGCUUGCUCCUCUUACGUUAGCGGCGGACGCGUGAGUCACACGUGGCUAACCUACCUAUAAGACAGCGAUAACUUCGGGAAACCGGAGCUAAUACCGGUAAAUAUAUUUUACUACCUGGUUUAAUCGUGAAAGACGGUUUUGCUGUCCCUUAUUGCUUGAUCCGCCCCGCAUUCGCUAGUUGGUAAGGAAACAGCUUAGCAAGUCGACGAUGCAGAGCCGACCUCAGAGAAUGAUCGGCCACACUAGAACUGAGUAACGGUCCAGACUACUACGGAAGACAGCAGUAGGGAAUCUUCCGCAAUAGUCGAAAGCCUGACGGAGCAACGCCGCGUGAGUGAUGAGGGUCUUCGGAGCGUAGAACUCUUUUAUUAGUGAAAAACAAAUUUGCAAGUAACUAUACACGUCUUAACGGUACCUAAUCGGAAAGCCACGUCUAACUACGUG
rnacentral:rRNA from 1 species